ensembl:lncRNA
GCAGUGGAAGUGCUGGUUCAAUACGCAGAAUGGGUGGUUUUAAAGAAAACAUGGACAUGUUGACAUAUGACAUACAUGCAUUGUCUCUCACUUGUGUACAAGGAAAUCAUUUCUUUGCCUCACAUAGCAGACUACUGUAUAUGGGCUGGGUUAAAAUGUGAUUUAACUUUGAAAGAAUAAGGUAAAAAUGCAAAAAAAGACAGUCUCUUGGCUUUUCAAGGUCGCUAUUAUUUUAUUUGUCAUCCAAGUAACAGCAACAGCAGCUGGUCUCUCAAAUGAAUCAUCUGACUAUUCCUGCCAAAUAGUCUUCACUAAAUCAACAGGCUCUUUAAGCGAUGACCAAAUUCCGUUUGAUACAUGGACAGUCUCAAAUGAUGCAAAGACUUCCACAUUUACAACACCUGUCACACCAAAGGCAACGUUAACAAUCAAGUCAAGUGAUGUCCCCACUGCCUCAAUUACAUCAAUGUUCACUUCAAGUGAUGUCAUAAUUCUCGCUACAACAUCAACAGUAAUAUCGAAUGAAGUCAUAACGCCCUCAGCACUCCAUAUUGUCCCUUCAACCGAUGCCAGUACUCUCUCAAAUACAUUGACCUCUCUCAAAUACAUUGAUGCCUCAACUACCAGUCAGAGCUCAAUGGGAGACAUCGUUUCUGCAUCAGCCCUCACAACAUCAACAGCUACUUCAACUGAUGCUCCCUCAAUUACCAUUGUUUUAAAUAAUGCCAAUACUCCUCAUAGUACACUCACAGUCCCUUCAAGUGAUGUCAACAAUCCCUCAACUACAUCAACAGCCACUUCAAACGAUGCCUUAAUGUCUUCUAUUUUUUCUACAGUCACUUUAAGUGAUUCUACUACUUUAUCUACUUCAAUGACAGGCUCUAUAAGUGACGUUCCAGCAAACACUUCAGUGAAAAACACUAUUGUCAGAUGUGUAUCAGGUGCUGUUGUAAAUGCCAUUAGGCUGGAAAAUGUUACUAGUCAGGUUAUCACUGCAAGUUGGAUGGGCAUCAACCUGAAUCAAGAAAUUCAGUACACAGUGAAGUUGGUGUCUUAUUCAUCCUCAAUCCAGAACGAGACCUCAGUCACCAAAGCUGUUUUCUUAGACCUUACUCCAGCAACCAUGUACACUCUCACUAUUGAGUACUUAUCCUGUGGCGUCAAGAAAAACAUUUCAAUAGACGUAGUCACAACUGGAAAAGUCUAUGAUUGUUCCACUCGAAUUCCAGGCGGAGAGUUUUUGUCUGAUUAUUUAAAUCAAUCCAGCAGCCUUUAUAAAGACUUUGUGACCAACUUCACCAUGCAGGUUGUAAAUAAUCUCCCAGAACAGUACCAAGACCUUAUCAAGACUCAACAAAUGAUGGUGGUUGUGAGAGCUGUUCGCAAUGGAAGUCUGAUUGUUGACUUUGAUCUAUUCGUUGCUUCGGUGGUCAACUUAUCAACCUCUGCCGUGCAGAUCAGUGUCAUCAAUGCCUUAAACAGAUCUGCACUCGGAGUAGAUCACAAUAGCACCUUUGUUAAAGAUGCAGAUCUUUGUCAAAGAGGAAAUUACGCAUGCUCACAAAAUGCCAGUUGUGUCACAGAGGGACCUUCAUAUUCAUGUAACUGUCAGGCGGGAUUCUAUGACAUAAACCCAGUGGUGCCUGGUACUGACUGCAUGAGCAUAUCAGUGGAUGCCACCACUACUGCAACAGCAUCAACAGUCUCACCAAGUGAUGCCACCACUGCCUCAAUUACAUCAACAGUCUCUCCAAGUGAUGCCACCACUGCCUCAAUUACAUCAACAGUCUCUCCAAGUGAUGCCACCACUGCCUUAACUACAUCAACAGUCUCUCCAAAGGAUGCCACCACUGACUCAACUACAUCAACAGUCUCGCCAAGUGAUGCCACCACUGCAUCAAUUACAUCAACAGUCUCCUCAAGUGAUGCCACCACUGCCAUAACUAGAUCAAAAGUCUCUCCAAGGGAUGCCACCACUGACUCAACUGCAUCAACAGUCUCUCCAAGUGAUGACUCCACUGCCUCAACUACAUCAACAGUCUCUCCAAGUGAUACCACCACUGACUCAACUACAUCAACAGUCUCUCCAAGUGAUGCCACCACUGCCUUAACUACAUCAACAGUCUCUCCAAAGGAUGCCACCACUGACUCAACUACACCAAUAGUCUUUCCAAGUGAUGCCACCACUGACUCAACUACAUCAACAGUCUCUCCAAGUGAUGACUCCACUGCCUCAACUACAUCAACAGUCUCUCCAAGUGUUGCCACCACUGACUCAACUACAUCAACAGUCUCUCCAAAGGAUUCCACCACUGACUCAACUGCAUCAACAGUCUCUCCAAGAGAUGCCACCACUGCCUCAACUACAUCAACAGGCUCUCCAAGUGAUGCCACCACUGACUCAACUACAUCAACAAUCUCUCCAAGUGAUGCCACCACUGACUCAACUGCAUCAACAGUCUCUCCAAGUGAUGCCACCACUGACUCAACAACAUCAACAGUUUCACCUAGUGAUGCCAACACUGCCUCAUUUACAUCAACAGUCUCUCCAAGUGAUACCACCACUGCCUUAACGAGAUCAACAGUCUCUCCAACGGAUGGCACCACUAAUUCAACUGCAUCAACAGUCUCUCCAAGUGAUGCCACCACUGCCUUAACUGCAUCAACAGUCUCUCCAAGAGAUGCCACCACUGCCUCAACUGCAUCAACAGUCUCUCCAAGUGUUGCCACCACUGACUCAACUACAUUGACAGUCUCUCCAAAGGAUGCCACCACUGACUCAACUGCAUCAACAGUCUCUCCAAGUGAUGCCACCACUGACUCAACUACAUCAACAGUCUCUCCAAGUGAUGCCACCACUGACUCAAUUACAUCAACAGUCUCUCCAAGUGAUGCCACCACUGACUCAACUACAUCAACAGUCUCUCCAAGUGAUGCCACAACUGCCUCAAUUACAUCAACUGUCUCUCCAAGGGAUGCCACCACUGCCUCAUCUACAUCAACAGUCUCUCUUAGUGAUGCAACCCCUGCCUUAACUACACCAACAAUCUCUUCAAGUGAUGCCACCACUGACUCAACUACACCAACAGUCUCGCUAAGUGAUGCCACCACUGCUUCAAGUACACCAACAGUCUCUUUAAGUGAUGCAACCACUGCCUUAACUACAUCAACAGUCUCUCCAAAGGAUGCCACCACUGACUCAACUGCAUCAACAGUCUCUCCAAAGGAUGCCACCACUGACUCAACUGCAUCAACAGUCUCUCCAAAGGAUGCCACCACUGCCUCAACUACAUCAACAGUCUCUCCAAGUGAUACCACCACUGACUCAACUACAUCAACAGUCUCUCCAAGUGAUCCCACCACUGACUCAACUACAUCAACAGUCUCACCUAGUGAUGCCACCACUGCCUCAUUUACAUCAACAGUCUCUCCUAGUGAUGCCACCACUGCCUCAUUUACAUCAACAGUCUCUCCUAGUGAUGCCACCACUGCCUCAAUCACAUCAACUGUCUCUCCAAGUGAUGCCACCACUGCUUCAACUACACCAACAGUCUCUCUAAGUGAUGCAACCACUGCCUUAACUACAUCAACAGUCUCUCCAAAGGAUGCCACCACUGACUCAACUGCAUCAACAGUCUCUCCAAAGGAUGCCACCACUGCCUCAACUGCAUCAACAGUCUCUCCAAAGGAUGCCACCACUGCCUCAACUACAUCAACAGUCUCUUCAAUUGAUGCCAGAACUUCCCCUGCUCUGUCUAGAGUCACUUCAACUGAUACCACCACUUCAGGUGAUGUCAUCACUUCCUCUAUGACAUUGACAGUCACUUCAAGUGAUGCCUCUAGAAGAAAUCAGACCUCAAUGGGAGAAACUCUUACUGCAACAGCUCCCACAAUAUCAACAGUCCCUUCAACUGAUGCUCCCUCAAAUACCGUUGUUUUAAAUGAUGCCAAAACUCCUCAUAGUACAAUCACAGUCCCUUCAAGUGAUGCCAACAAUCCCUCAACUACAUCAACAGCCACUUCAAACGAUGCCUUAAUGUCUUCUAUUCUUUCUACAGUCACUUUAAGUGAUUCUACUACUUUAUCUACUUCAAUGACAGGCUCUACAAAUGAUGUUCCAGCAAACACUUCAGUGAAAAACACUACUGUCAGAUGUGUAUCAAGUGCUGUUGUAAAUGCCAUUAGGCUGGAAAAUGUUACUAAUCAGGUUAUCACUGCAAGUUGGAUGGGCAUCAACCUGAAUCAAGAAAUUCAGUACACAGUGAAGUUGGUGUCUUAUUCAUCCUCAAUCCAGAACGAGACCUCAGUCACCAAAGCUGUUUUCUUAGACCUUACUCCAGCAACCAUGUACACUCUCACUAUUGAGUACUUAUCCUGUGGCGUCAAGAAAAACAUUUCAAUAGACGUAGUCACAACUGGAAAGGUCUAUGAAUGUUCCACUCGAAUUCCGAGUGGAGAGUUUUUCUCUGAUUAUUUAAAUCAAUCCAGCAGCCUUUAUAAAGACUUUGUGAUCAAUUUCACCAUCCAGGUUGUAAAUAAUCUCCCAAAACAAUACCAGGACCUUAUAAGUGCUCAACAAAUGAUGGUGAUUGUGAGAGAUGUUCGCCAAGGAAGUGUGAUCGUUGACUUUGAUCUGGUGACUGCUUUCGAUGUUAACCUAUCAACGUCUGAUGUCAGGACGAGUGUCAUCAAUGCCCUGAACUUAUCUACACUCAGAGUAGAUCUCAAUAGUACCCAUGUUCAAGAUGCAGAUCUUUGCCAAAGAGGAAUUUACGCAUGCUCACAAAAUGCCAGUUGUGUCACAGAGGGACCUUCAUAUUCAUGUAACUGUAAGGCGGGAUUCAAUGACAUAAACCCAGUGGUGCCUGGUACUGACUGCAUGAGCAUAUCAGUGGAUGCCACCACUACUGCAACAGCAUCAACAGUCUCGCCAAGUGAUGCCACCACUGCCUCAAUUACAUCAACAGUCUCUCCAAGUGAUGCCACCACUGACUCAACUCCAUCAACAGUCUCUCCAAGUGAUGCCACCACUGCCUCAACUACAUCAACAGUCUCGCCAAGUGAUGCCACUACUGCCUUAACUACAUCAACAGUCUCUCCAAGUGAUGCCACCACUGACUCAACUACAUCAACAGUCUUUCCAGGUGAUGCCAACACUGACUCAACUACAUCAGCCGACUCUUCAAGAGAUGCCUCCACUGCUAUAACUACAUCAACAGUCUCUCCUAAUUAUGCCACCAGUGCCUCAAAUGCAUCAAAAGUCUCUCCAAAUGAUACCACCGCUGACUCAGCUACAUUAACAGUCUUUCCAAGUGAUGCCACCACUGCCUCAACUUCAUCAAAGGUCUCUCCAAGUGAUGCCACCACUUACUCAAUUACAUCAACAGUCUCUCCAAGUGAAGCCACAACCUACUCAACUACAUCAACAGUCUCUCCAAGUGAGGCUAUCACUGACUCAACUACACCAACAGUCUCUCCAAGUGAUGCCACAACUUACUCAACUACAUCAACAGUCUCUCCAAGUGAAGUCAUUAGUCCCUUUACCUCGUUGACGUUCACGUCAAGUGAUAACUCCACUACCCGUCAGAGCUCAAUGGGAGACAUUGUUUCUGCAUCAGCCCCCACAGCAUCAACAGCUACUUCGAGUGUUGCCAUCUCUUCCUUAACUCUUUCCACAGUCUCCUCAAGUGAUGUAACCCCUCCCUCAAAUAUAUUGCCGGUCUCUUCAGUUGAUGCCAGAACUUCCCCUGCUCUGUCUAGAGUCACUUCAACUGAUACCACCACUUCAGGUGAUGUCAUCACUUCCUCUAUGACAUUGACAGUCACUUCAAGUGAUGCCUCUAGAAGAAAUCAGACCUCAAUGGGAGAAACUAUUACUGCAACAGCUCCCACAAUAUCAACAGUCCCUUCAACUGAUGCUCCCUCAAAUACCGUUGUUUUAAAUGAUGCCAAAACUCCUCAUAGUACAAUCACAGUCCCUUCAAGUGAUGCCAACAAUCCCUCAACUACAUCAACAGCCACUUCAAACGAUGCCUUAAUGUCUUCUAUUCUUUCUACAGUCACUUUAAGUGAUUCUACUACUUUAUCUACUUCAAUGACAGGCUCUACAAAUGAUGUUCCAGCAAACACUUCAGUGAAAAACACUACUGUCAGAUGUGUAUCAAGUGCUGUUGUAAAUGCCAUUAGGCUGGAAAAUGUUACUAAUCAGGUUAUCACUGCAAGUUGGAUGGGCAUCAACCUGAAUCAAGAAAUUCAGUACACAGUGAAGUUGGUGUCUUAUUCAUCCUCAAUCCAGAACGAGACCUCAGUCACCAAAGCUGUUUUCUUAGACCUUACUCCAGCAACCAUGUACACUCUCACUAUUGAGUACUUAUCCUGUGGCGUCAAGAAAAACAUUUCAAUAGACGUAGUCACAACUGGAAAGGUCUAUGAAUGUUCCACUCGAAUUCCGAGUGGAAAGUUUUUCUCGGAUUAUUUAAAUCAAUCCAGCAGCCUUUAUAAAGACUUUGUGAUCAAUUUCACCAUCCAGGUUGAGACUAAUCUCCCAAAACAAUACCAGGACCUUAUAAGUGCUCAACAAAUGAUGGUGAUUGUGAGAGAUGUUCGCCAAGGAAGUGUGAUCGUUGACUUUGAUCUGGUGACUGCUUUCGAUGUUAACCUAUCAACGUCUGAUGUCAGGACGAGUGUCAUCAAUGCCCUGAACUUAUCUACACUCAGAGUAGAUCUCAAUAGCACCCUUGUUCAAGAUGCAGAUCUUUGCCAAAGAGGAAAUUACGCAUGCUCACAAAAUGCCAGUUGUGUCACAGAGGGACCUUCAUAUUCAUGUAUCUGUCAGGCGGGAUUCUAUGACAUAAACCCAGUGGUGCCUGGUACUGACUGCAUGAUCAUAUCAGUGGAUGCCACCACUGACUCAACUGCAUCAACAGUCUCUCCAAGUGAUGCAACCACUGCCUUAACUACAUCAACAGUCUCUCCAAGUGAUGCCACCACUGCCUCAAUUACAUCAACAGUCUCUCCAAGUGAUGCCACCACUGCCUCAAUUACAUCAAUAGUCUCUCCAAGUGAUGCCACCACUGACUCAACUCCAUCAACAGUCUCUCCAAGUGAUGCCACCACUGCCUCAACUACAUCAACAGUCUCUCCAAGUUAUGCCACCACUGACUCAACUGCAUCAACAGUCUCUCCAAGUGAUGCCACCACUGCCUCAACUACAUCAACAGUCUCUCCAAGUGAUGCCACCACUGCCUUAACUACAUCAACAGUCUCUCCAAAGGAUGUCAUUAGUCCCUCUACCUCGUUGACGUUCACUUCAAGUGAUAGCUCCACUACCCUUCAGGCCUCAAUGGGAGACAUUGUUUCUGCAUCAGCCCCCACAACAUCAGCAGCUACUUCAAGUGUUGCCAUCUCUUCCUUUAGGAUAUCGGCAGUUUCCUCAAGUGAUGUCACCUAUCUCUCAACUAGAUUGCCAGUCUCUUCAAUUGAUGCCAGAACUUCCUCUGCACCUUCUAGAGUCAUUUCAACUGAUACCACCAUUUCAAGUGAUGUCAUCACUUCCUCUAAGAUUUCGACAGUCACCUCGAGUGAUUCUUCAUCUACCAGCCAAUCCUCACUGGGAAGCACUGUUUUGACAACAGUCUUCACCAAUGCAUCCAUAGAAACUAAAGUCCCAACAAUAUUAACAGUGAUUUCAACUGAUGCCACCAUUCCUCCUUCUACAUCAACAGUCUCUUCAAAUAGUGUUUCCUCAUCUACAUCAGUACAUCCAAUUAAUGUCAAAACAACUUCCCAGACAUCCUCUUCAAUUCAGAAUCUGUCGUAUACAUAUUCAGUAACUUCAAGUGAUGCCUCCAAUUCCAGUCAAACCUCAGUGAGAAGCAUUGAUUCAUCAACUGCCACAAUAAACACUAAUGCAUCCAUAGAGACUUUAGCCCCCUUGACAUCAACAGUGAAUUCAAGUGAUUCCAAUACUCCUUCUAUAUCUUCUACAGUAAUUUCCAAUGCCACAUCUCCCUAUUCGACAUUGAUAGUCACUGCAAGUUAUGCCACCACUCCCUUUGCUAGAUCACAAGUAACAAGUCUGGCCACCACUCUAAGACCAACUCCUUCCUCAUCCAGUGCUACUCCAGUGACGACAAGACCAGAAACAACCUCAACUGCAGUCCCAGUAAUCAAUUCUUCAGACACCUCACUUGGAACCGUAUCAAGAGACACCACUUUGGUGACUACUGUCCAAAAUACUUUUACAGGAUGUGGUGCUGUAGUGAAUGCCAUCCGGCUAGAAAAUAUCACUAGCCAGGUUAUCAUUGUGAGUUGGAUGGGAAUCAACCUGAAUCAAGAAAUUCAGUACAUAGUGAAGUUGGUGUCUUAUUCAUCCUCAAUCCAGAACGAGACCUCAGUCACCAAAGCUGUUUUCUCAGACCUUACUCCAGCAACCAUGUACACUCUCACUAUUGAGUACUUAUCCUGUGGCGUCAAGAAAAACAUUUCAAUAGACGUAGUCACAACUGGAAAGGUCUAUGAAUGUUCCACUCGAAUUCCGAGUGGAGAGUUUUUCUCUGAUUAUUUAAAUCAAUCCAGCAGCCUUUAUAAAGACUUUGUGAUCAAUUUCACCAUCCAGGUUGAGACUAAUCUCCCAAAACAAUACCAGGACCUUAUAAGUGCUCAACAAAUGAUGGUGAUUGUGAGAGAUGUUCGCCAAGGAAGUGUGAUCGUUGACUUUGAUCUGGUGACUGCUUUCGAUGUUAACCUAUCAACGUCUGAUGUCAGGACGAGUGUCAUCAAUGCCCUGAACUUAUCUACACUCAGAGUAGAUCUCAAUAGUACCCAUGUUCAAGAUGCAAAUCUCUGCCAACGAGGAAAUUACGCAUGCUCACAAAAUGCCAGUUGUGUCACAGAGGGACCUUCAUAUUCCUGUAAAUGUCAGGUGGGAUUGUACAGUGAAAACCCUGCCUUGCCUGGUACUGCCUGCAUGAUCACUUCAAGUAAUGCCACCACUCCCUCAACUUCAUUCACAGUCUCUUCAAGUGAUGCCAUAACUCUCCCUGCUCCAUCAACAGUCACUUCAGGAGUUCCCCAAAUAUCAAUGGCCCCAGCUGAAGGCUGGAAAGUAGCAACCAUAGUCCUUGGAGUUCUGCUGGGCUUCAUUUUGUUAGUUGUGGUUUUUGCUUUGAUCAUGACUGCACUGAGAUCAACUAACAGGAUCAUGUCAUACAACAUCCAUCAGCCAGAGGACAACAUACAGGUGGUGUCCACUGACUACAUACAUAAACACUAUUCUAACUGUGUGUAG